rnacentral:rRNA from 1 species
GCGUUAUCCGGAUUCACUGGGUUUAAAGGGUGCGUAGGUGGGCAGGUAAGUCAGUGGUGAAAUCUCUGGGCUUAACCCAGAAACUGCCGUUGAUACUAUCUGUCUUGAAUGUAGUGGAGGUGAGCGGAAUAUGUCAUGUAGCGGUGAAAUGCUUAGAUAUGACAUAGAACACCCAUUGCGAAGGCAGCUCGCUACACUAUUAUUGACACUGAGGCACGAAAGCGUG